CAGGGAGACAACAAAAUGUUUAAUAUUAUUAUUUUGUCACCUUAGGUCGAUCGGUAUCUCACGUUUUUAAUUUAUUAAGAAUUUCAAUUCCUAAGUUUUUCUAGGUCACACCCAUUAUUUUUCCUGGGCCAUUAGCUCAGGUGGUUAGAGCGCACCCCUGAUAAGGGUGAGGUCCCUGGUUCAAGUCCAGGAUGGCCCAUAUCUCUAUGUUGGGGGUAUAGCUCAGUUGGUAGAGCGCCUGCUUUGCAAGCAGGAUGUCAGCGGUUCGAGUCCGCUUACCUCCACUGAUUACCACCUCUUCCAUAAUCUGUAGAAAGGAAAUGUAUUGAGUUGUGAUCAAAUCCUGAACGAAUCUAGCUUCCUAAUGAAAUCAUUAAGAUGCUGGACUCAUUGAAUUAAUUUCAUUGUUUUCAGAGAACCUUGACAACUGCAUAGAUUAUUUUUUAAAGACAAUAAGCAUCUUUAAUGAUGCAGAUUUAUUAUUUGUGCGAAUGCAUUAAUAACAAUUCUAUUAAGCUGAUGCUUCAAUUUUGAAGUUAUU
rnacentral:tRNA from 1 species